rnacentral:rRNA from 1 species
CCCUUAGAUGUUCUGGGCCGCACACGCGCUACACUGAUGAACGCAACGAGACCACCUGUACCGAAAGGCAUGGGUAAACUUGUGAAAGUUCAUCGUGAUGGGGAUAGAUUAUUGCAAUUAUUAAUCUUCAACGAGGAAUUCCUAGUAAGCGCGAGUCAUCAGCUCGCGUUGAUUACGUCCCUGCCCUUUGUACACACCGCCCGUCGCUCCUACCGAUUGAAUGGUCCGGUGAAAUCUUCGGAUUGCUGGAUAGGACUUCAUUGACCUAUCUGCGAGAAGUUGCUUGAACCUUAUCAUUUAGAGGAAGGAGAAGUCGUAACA